CUCAUUUACUCUCAGCCCAACACACACAGCCCGUGCUGUGGCCCAUCUAUGACUGGGUGCACCCGCCCUGAACAUCACCAUCACCCGGGUCCCAGUUACUCCAGGGUUCACUCCUGAUGCUGUGCGUUCUGUGGGUAUGGACAGAGGUGUAGUCAUGACAGUACCUCCUGCUACAAUACCACAGAAUGCCAUAACGUUGGAGCCACACAGCAAUAGUCUUUUCAGAUUGGCAUCUUUCAUUUGGUGUGGGAGUUACAUCUCUUCCCCUAUAUCAUUUUGGAGGUUCCACCGAGAUUACUGGCCAGAG
rnacentral:lncRNA from 1 species